rnacentral:rRNA from 1 species
UGCAAGUCGAACGAUGAUGCCCAGCUUGCUGGGUUGAUUAGUGGCGAACGGGUGAGUAACACGUGAGUAACCUGCCCCUGACUCUGGGAUAAGCGUUGGAAACGACGUCUAAUACUGGAUAUGAUCGCCGGCCGCAUGGUCUGGUGGUGGAAAGAUUUUUUGGUUGGGGAUGGACUCGCGGCCUAUCAGCUUGUUGGUGAGGUAAUGGCUCACCAAGGCGACGACGGGUAGCCGGCCUGAGAGGGUGACCGGCCACACUGGGACUGAGACACGGCCCAGACUCCUACGGGAGGCAGCAGUGGGGAAUAUUGCACAAUGGGCGAAAGCCUGAUGCAGCAACGCCGCGUGAGGGAUGACGGCCUUCGGGUUGUAAACCUCUUUUAGUAGGGAAGAAGCGAAAGUGACGGUACCUGCAGAAAAAGCACCGGCUAACUACGUGCCAGCAGCCGCGGUAAUACGUAGGGUGCAAGCGUUGUCCGGAAUUAUUGGGCGUAAAGAGCUCGUAGGCGGUUUGUCGCGUCUGCUGUGAAAUCCCGAGGCUCAACCUCGGGCUUGCAGUGGGUACGGGCAGACUAGAGUGCGGUAGGGGAGAUUGGAAUUCCUGGUGUAGCGGUGGAAUGCGCAGAUAUCAGGAGGAACACCGAUGGCGAAGGCAGAUCUCUGGGCCGUAACUGACGCUGAGGAGCGAAAGCAUGGGGAGCGAACAGGAUUAGAUACCCUGGUAGUCCAUGCCGUAAACGUUGGGCGCUAGAUGUAGGGACCUUUCCACGGUUUCUGUGUCGUAGCUAACGCAUUAAGCGCCCCGCCUGGGGAGUACGG